UUGAAUUUUUAACCGAUAACCACAGUUAUCACGAAUUUUCGAUUACCACCUGAGCUCGGGUAACUUCAACCCUGCUCACAUCUCUCACCCACACCACAGCCGGCCAUCACCAUCCCCAUGCCCUGCCUGAUCUUUUCACCGAGCAGGCAAAAACCGAUCUUCUCUUCUUCCCUUUUGCUCCUCUCUCUCACACAAGCAUUCACAUACAAACAGAGCACGCACAAACCAAAGCUACCUUCUCCUCCCUCUGCUCCACCUGCACACAGACAUGCAUACACCGAGCUCUGCACUUGCAUACAACAUCACAGCAUACACACAACCACACAAGCAGCAGCACCUCCACCGUACCGCACGACCGAGCUCUGGUUCGCACUGUCCGAGCUCGCACACGUCGUUCUGAAGUCGCCAACGUCGCCCUGCUCGGCCAUGCGCCGCCACGGGCUCCCCGCUGAGCCACCGUGUGUGUUGUCGUCAUGCGCGUUGUCACCGUGAGCUCUGACCAUCUUUUCCGCAGAGCCAAACUCCACCACGGUGCCGGCCGAUCUUAGCCGCGCCACGCCAUGCGCUGAACCGUGCACACCGCUACCCUGCCGCUCUCGGUCGUCGUCGCCCGCGCCAUCCGUCCACGGCUCGAAGUUAAGGUUCUAAGCAAGAACGCGAGGAAUGAACUGAAGGCAAGAUCUAGCGAUGAAGAAGAACCUCGAAAACUCAAGAGAUAAGACCAAUCGUGAAUUGACCCUUCAAGAAGGCAAGUCAUAUCUCCUUGAUCAUAUUGAGCCUAUGUUUUCAAAUAAUAUACAUGAUCAGCUAAAAUCGGACUUAUUAUUGCAUGUGCUAUAUAUUCGUUUUCUUUCAAACUACUUAUAGUAGUUAAUCCUAUCAACACUGUCAUGCCUUACAUAUCAUCAUCCAGAAUACAUAUCACCGAAGGAUUACCUGUCGUUAUCUAUAUUAACGUCGGAAAACUCCAUGAUAUCUAGCAUGCUUAGGAUUGAAUACAUCUCCUCAGAGAUGUUGCUUUUAAAAUACGUCUCCUCGGAGACAUCGCUUUUAAAAACACUUCUCUUCGGAGACAAGAUUUACUAUUAUCAAUGAUAACUCAUAUACCAUAAAUCCUUGGUGUCAUGUGGGAUAUAGAGGGUGAUGUGUAAAAAUAGGUGAAAACUGUUUUAGCGCAGGUAGGUAGAGUAGUCCUCCGGGGAGGAUGCUCUUGGGGGCUUGAGUUACAUGAUGGUAUUCAUUGCCCAUGAAGAUGCCUAGCUCGUCCGCUUAAGGAGUGAGUCUUGCGUCGUCAUGCUUAGCCACCCCCGUGCAACCAUGCGUCCUGUAUGGGCAGGACUUGACUUUUCCUUCAAUGGACUGAGUUAGGCAUCAUACCAGGAGGCUGAGAGCAACGAGCAGCCAAGGGUCUAUCUGUCCCGCUCUUUGGAGGUUUAAGGGACUGGCUUAUGCUUAAAAAGGGAUGCUGGCCUUCGGAACAUGCAGCUCUGAGACUUGGCGUGUCUUGUGGAAAGCCCGGCAGGAAAGGUAUUUGGAGAGUCUCGGUAUGAUUCGCUCCUCUGCUAGCUACGGAUGGAGGCUGAGCAUAUCGUGUGGGUAAAGCUGUACAACUUCUACAGAGUGUAAAUCUAUUCGAAUAGCCGUGUCCACGGUCAUGGACGUGUGAAGGUAUGGUCACGCUUGAAUAGACUCCAGGUGUGUGAGUCUUGAUGAGUAAGUGUGUGGACUAUAUGUCUGUGUGAUGAGGUUCCUGGCUCGAUCUGCCAGAAGCUGUGUGGUACUAGAGGUACACUAGAUGUGAUAAAAGAGACUGCGGAGUGAGGUAUAGCCCCUCCCAGGACCGAAAACCCCCAGAUAUCACUUGUUACCCUGGUUUUGGUUUUAACACUAUUUCAACAGCUUUGCUAUCAGGUUACCUUCUAAUACGUUGGGGACUUGAGGUGAUACUCAGUACCAACGGAAGAUGCCUGCACCUUUUUACUUUUAAAACUGUUUUGACAUCCUUGCUACCAGGUUACCUUCUAAUACGUUGGGGACUUGAGGUAAUACUCAGUACCAACAAAAGAUGCUUGCAGUUAUUUUUAAAAGCUUUGUUACAUUUAUUUCAAAAGGUUAACCAUGGAGAAUAUAACUGGAUACUUGCAUAAAACCUGCUUUACGCUCAAAACUAUGCUGUAAAGUCUUAUCCUUGAAAUAUCCAUUAUGCAUCUAUCAACCCCCUUGAAGGAGUAUAGGACUUGUUGAGUACCUUUCGUACUUAGUCUUGUUGCUUUCAGAUUGUUGAGAUGGAGAUCAACCGCAACCCAGAUGAAGUAAAAGAGAAGAAGUCUAAGGUUGCGUCCGCACCUAUGUUGCCUGUGGCAUUGGGUUUCAUCAUCGUUUCGCUCCGCUGCGUUGUAGGCUCUUCUGCCUGGCUGGUCUGCUGUGGAUUCUUGUCCACUAGACCAUCUUUUCUCUUUUCAGGUAUUUAUUUUACUUAUUUGUAUUCGAAGUAUGUAUUUGAUAUUAUUUUGUUGAAUUCUGUGCGUAUCAGCUACUUGAUCCAGGGACUGAUACAGGAGGCACAGGGGAACCCGGAUUCGGGGUCCUGACACUGGUAGUCGAACAAGAGAGCCACGAGAGAAAGGCCAAGGUCCAGAAACCUUUUUACCAUAUGAGCGAAGUCCUACACGAUGCUAAGCUACGAUACCCAUAAGUGCAGAUGUUGCUAUAUGCAGUCUUAAUGUCUUCCCGGAAGCUACAACACUAUUUUCAAGCACAUAAGAUCACCGUCAUGACGACUUAUCUGCUGAAGGAUGUCAUACACAAUAGGGAGGCUACUGGAUGAAUCGCACAGUGGAUGAUCGAGCUCAAUGAGUUCGACGUCGGAUAUGUACCACACAGAAGUGUGAUGUCAGGAGUACUAGCGAAAUUCAUCGCCGAAUGGACAAGCAUUAAAGAGACAAGGCCAAGUGUGGUCGAAGACUUCUUCAAUGGAUCACUCACGCUUCAAGGCUCGUGGGCUGGCAUUGUACUUAAAUCUCCAACAGGCGACGAACUCAGGUAAGUUGUUCAAUUUGAUUUUAAAGCUUCCAACAAUGUAGUAGAAUACAAGGGACUAGUAAACAAGCUUCGCAUAGCUGAAUUACUUGGAAUCAGGUGACUUCUCGUGAAAGGGGAUUCACAACUAGUCGUAAACCAAGUACAAAAGGAGUACCAGUGCUCAAACGACAACAUGGCAGCUUACCUAAACGAGGUGCAAAAGCUCGAGCAGAAGUUCGAAGGGUUAGAAGUGACACAGAUCAAGAGGAGUGACAACUCCGAUGUAGAUGAACUUGCUAGACUCGCUUCUUCCUGAGCUCCGGUACCCAUAGGAGUCUUUGUUGAGAAACUCCUCAAACCAUAUGUACCGACAGUUCGAUGAACGGAUGCUACCCAACUCGACCAGCAGUCUAGUCCAGUCAGAGAGGCAGAACUCGCAGACACGGAUGCUGCACUACUCGAACGUGAUCUAACUUAGAUGGCUUCGUACCAAGCCUAUCUCGAAGGUCGAGACAUCCCUGGUGAUGAUGCGUCUGCUAAAAAAAUUACUCGUAAGUCCAGGCUCUACGCUUUGGUAAACGGCAAGCUCUAACGAAAGGGGAGUAACGAAAUCUUGAUUAAGUGCAUCACACAGGAAGAGGGCAAUAAAAUAUUGCUCGAUAUCCAAGGAUUCUAUUGGCUGACUACCCUCCAGGAUGCUUCCAAGCUGGUCAAAAAGUGCGAGAGCUGCUAAUUUUUCGGAAGGCAAACCACUCGAGUAACCCAAGCUCUACAAACAAUUCCUCUUUCUUUGCCUUUCUCCAUCUGGGGAUUGGAUAUCCUGGGACCGUUCCUAAGGGUCCAAUGUGGUUAUAAGUUCCUAUUCGUGGCUAUCAACACGUUCACUAAGUGGAUCGAGGCUGAACCCGUGGGAAAGAUAACCACAGAAGUGGCUAAGAAGUUCAUGAGGAGUACAAUUACUUGAUUCGGUAUUUCGCAUCGGAUAAUUACAUAUAACAGUAGCCAAUUCAGAAGCUAGAUCUUCACUUCGUUCUGUGAAGAAUUUGGCAUCAAAAACUAUUUUGCCUCAGUAGCUCACCCACAAUGUAAGGAUCAAGUUGAACGUGUUAAUGGUAUAGUCUUACAGGGCAUCAAAACUCGGGUCUUCGAUAGGCUAAAGGCUUACCUGAAACGCUAGGUGAAAGAACUUCCCUCGGUACUAUGGGUCAUUCGUACUUUGACUAACAGGGCCACCGGUGAAACUCCAUUCUUUUUAGUUUAUGGAGCAAAGGCAGUGCUUCCGAAUGAAUUGCAGUUUGGAUCACCGUGAGUGGAAAGUUACUCAAAGGGACGGCAAGAGCACUUACGAGCGGACGACAUCAAUUUUCUCAAGGAGUAUCGUGGUCGAGCAUCUAUUCGACCAGUUAAGUAUCAACAAGCAUUGUGUAAGUAUUAUAGUCAAAAGAUUCAGCCCAGAAAACUCACAGUUAAGGAUUUUGUUCUACGAAAGGUGCAGAAACAGGGUAGGUGCCAUAAGUUAUCACCCAAGUGAGAAGGACCCUAUAUAGUUAUCACCCAAGUGAGAAGUACCCUAGAUCAGUGUAGCUAUCUACUCCAAACGGUGAGAUACUCGAGCACUCAUGGAAUAUCGACCAACUCUGAAAGUUUCAUUCAUAGAAAAGGUAAAUUAUGGGUAAGUCAAUUACAUUUGAUUCGAUUAACUACUCGAUUACAGACUUUUUCUUUUUCAUCUAACCUGCGUGGCUAGUGCAAAGUUGACAGAAAGUGUUUGCCUGGCCCUUGCAAAUAGUGCAGGUCCUACUCCCCUUUGAAUGAGUCAAGGAAUCUUCUAUACUCAUCCCAUGGACGGCAGCUGAUCGUGCCAGGGACCGGACGCAGGCCACCUUAAGGGAUAGGGAGAGUGGCAAGGAAAAGACCCUACUGGAGCUGUUGACCGGUGCUGACGAUGUCGAGUGACCCUCUACAGGGCACGAAGGCGAUCUGGCGGUUGUCGACGGAGAAGACGAUCGCACUUUCUCUACCACUGGAGGUUUGGAGGCUCCAUCGUUGAAGACCUUGUCAGCGAACUAGUCGAUCACCGCAACGAGAUCACCACCAUCUUCAUCUCCCUCCUGCAGGGCUUGUGUUACCAACUCUUGUGUCAGCGUCAAGGAAACGCCAGAGGUGGCAGGUGAAGGGUCAGUGACCUCCGAUGGACAUUCUAUUCUUUCUCCUCUUAGGCCUUUCGAUUGAUUCCUCCUCGUCGGAAGAAACGAUGAUGACUCCUGGAGGAACCAUGGUGAGGGGCCUUGGGGUGAGAAAUCCUAUCUCUUCACUUUCUAGACCGGACUUGGGAGACGAUGGUGGAGUGGAGGUCAUGGCUUCAAGCUCUACAAUUUCUACUGGGCAUGUAGGGAGAAAGGAAGGAGACGGGGUGAAAAACCGGCCUCAGUUUUCUCUCUAUUUAUAGUCAUGGAAACGGGUCGCACUGUACAUGCAGAGCUGUCAAGAUCCGAUAUCACUGGGUGUGAGAGCGAGGCUGCCAUGGUUGCGCAGCACGUCUGGUUGAAGUUGAGGCGUCAUUGAGACGUUGUGACUUGUCCAAUCUCUGCAAAGAGAGGUGCACGGUCAUUAUUGUAUGUCAAAUCAAAGGCUGCGGUGAAAAUGAGUAUGCGUGGGAGUGGGUUUUUAAUGCUCACCUAUCUGGCUAUUCGAAUACACUCGAUAACCAUAACAUAAUCUCAACCACCCACUCGGGGGCUGGAGUCAUCGAGUACGUGGUUGAGAAACGGAAGUCAAUGCUUAUGCUCUACUCUCCACUUGAUCCAACUAUCGAGUGGAGAGUUGGGAGCUACAUCAUACUUUUUCAGUGUUUCUUGCUUCACUUUCUGUUUCUUGGUUAUCAUAGCAACUUGAGAUCCGGAAGCUACAUCGUAUAAUGUCAGUGCUUAUGCUCCACUUUCUACUCAAAUUCAGUCAUGGAACGAAGUGACAGGGGCCACGUCAAGUAUAUUUUAGUGCAUAUGCUCUACUCUCUGCCUUGAUUAUCACAUCAAAUAGAGAGUUAGGGGCUACAUCGCAUACUUUCGAUGCUACAGCUUUACUCUUUACUCGAUCUAGUCAUCGAGUAGAUAGUCGAGGGUUACAACACCAUACACUUUCAAUAACACAUGUAUGUUCCUUUCUACUCUUAGAUCAAGUAAUCUUCUCAUCGAUCAUAGAGUCGGGGGCUACAUAAUAAUACCAUACUUUUCGUAAAUUUUGUAUAUAUCUUUUGCAAGAGUUUAUCUGGCUUUGCAUCAACUGAUUUGGAUAAGAGCCAGUAGAGGCAUAUGUUGGGUUGAUGAUGGACAACUACACCUAAUAAAGCAUAACGGCAUAAGAGAUUGUCAGACAUCUCAUGCCUAAUGGCUAAAAAAGGUUCUGAAGUUCUAGUCGAUCCCAUGUGUGUCAUCUGUCGAGUUCAUAUCCGUACGCUGGUUAAGCACGCAAGUUAGUGAAAGUUUGCAAAAGGCCAUCAUUAUUUUCUAUUUCUAGAACGUCACUUGGUCUUUUCCUUAUUCUUACGGUUGUCUCAAGUGAUUACUCGUGGGCCAAUAUUUCUAAUCAUUUGCCUAGUUAAGUUUUCAGAUAUUAACAGAUACACAAUCAUGUAGUAUCGAGAAUGAUUAUAGCACGUAAUUGUCAGAUAUUGCAUCUACUCAUGCUAAUUCUAUUUCAUCAGCAAGGGAAUAGUAGGUAGUAACAUGGUAGACAAGCAAAACAAUAGUACUGUUACAGACAUUCCCAUAUCAUAAACCAAGUUGCAUCAAGUGUUUCGAGCUUAACGGACGGUUAGCUCGAGAGACUCCUCUCACUAUCAUCAUCAGGAAGGCUAAGCCCUAGUGACUCAACAAAGGUAGGGACUACAGGCUCAACGCUAAGGACAAGUUUUGCUGCUUCUUCAAUGGUACAGUUAAACCCCACUGUCACUACUGAAGUGUCAAGUGCAGGGUUGUAACUCUUGAGGAUACCAAGCAACGUAGUGGCACUUACGGAGGCUGAUUGAGUCAUGCGGUCGAGUGUUUGUUCCUUCAACUCUUGGAGUGCUGAAACUGCAGCAUCCCGUUCAGCAGUAGUAGCAUCUCGCUCGGCGAUAGCAGCAUCCUGCUCGGUUUCCAUGGCCUUCUGUUCGGCUCUCGUGGCGCUUGCAUCAUUCUUGAGUUUUUCCUAAUACUUGGAAUUGUCAUAAAUGGUUUUCAUCGCAUUAGAAAGAAGGGCUUCCUUGCUGUUAUAGGAGGACUCGAGGACUGAGGAAGCAGAUAGAAAAGUAACUUUUGUUAGUCACCUGAUAAUCAAAUCACAUACAUGUGAUCUGGGGGAUGGACUUACGUUUUAUUCUUUCCUGGCUGGCUUUAAGCUCCAUCUAUCAGUCGGCAUAGUCGUUCUUGGCGGUAGUUGCUUGAGCACCCGUGGCCUGGAGGAGAACCUCUAUUGCUGCCCAAGGGUCGUUAGUUGGGACCAAUAUUAAGGUUUCAACUUUCUUAGGCUACGGACCUUCUUUAGGUGUGCUCGAGGUAGGAUCUUCAACUUGAGGGGCUAGAGUUGGAGCUGGACUAACAGGAGAGAUCAAUGCCAGAUGACUGGUCGACUUGCUGGCAGUCUGGUCUUUUGCCUCCUCUAGAAUAGAUAGUCUAUAAUCAAUAGAAUAAGGAAAAGAGAGAAAAACUGCUAGCUAAGAUUAGGACUCAGGACAAACCUUCUUGCAAUCGGAAAGUAUGAAAUGAUGCUUGACUUUUGCCUUUUAGUGGUUACUUUCUUCGUCAUUGAACCAAUAACCGAGGUCGGCUGCGUCGAAGAAGUGACUUGGGAGCCAGAUGAAGCCAAGGCAUCCGCAACCUAUAAAGAAGCAGCCAACAAUAUUUUUUCUAGGCUUAUCGAGUGGGUCCCUAAAAAGGAUAACCAAUUAAAGGGCGAUGACUCAUUGAGAGUUGCCCCUUUGGUCAAGUUAUUGGAUGUGCGGUCUCUCGAGGUGGCGAUCGCAAGGAUGCACCAGAUGUCUCCUGAGGAAGGCCACCCGUGCGGACCCGGUGUCAGUAGGCAUUCGCUCGAUAAUGGAAAAACUAUCGGCUACUAGAAUAUUUAAUUUCAGUACCAGUGGACUUCUUCGCUUGCGUUUGAGAGGGACGGGAAUGAUCUCUUUGAUUGAAGGGACCCUUUAACCCCUUGAUCAGCUGGUACUUUCCCCUUGUUACCAGAACCAAUAGGGAAGGCAUUGUCAAGAUCAAAUACCUCAUUCAUAAGGAUAUGCUCUUGAUAGAAAACUGGAACCUGGGUUGAAAAAAUAAAUCAGAUCAAAGUAAACCACAAUCAGCGUUGCCUUCCUACUUAAGAAAUUCCCACCUCCUAUCAAGGAUUCGCAAGGGAGUAGGGCAGAAUGUGGCAUUCUGGUGCUUCGUCGGAGAAGAGCUUGUUUAGCCGAGCAAUAACAUCUUGUGAAGAUAGAGCUGAAAUAGAAAAGAAAAAUUAUUCAAAAAAACGACUGCAAUAACAAAAGCAGCACAUUGUAAAAUAAGUCUUACAUCCAGCCGCGUCCUUGGAGCUAUCUUUGUCUCCACUAAACUCCCAUGCCAAAUGCUCCCGUGCCUUCAAGAGGCUCAACCUUCGACUGAUGAAGUCCUUGGCCAGAUGACACCCGGCUAAGCCAUACUAUCUUAGCAUGCCGAUUUUAUUGGCAUAAUUGGAAGUAUGGUCAGAUUCGCGGUGUUUCUUCGUCCAAGAUGAAAUCUGGUGGGGAAGGAGGCCUCUAUAGACUAAGGGAGAACGGACUAGGUCGGGGUUAGAGACAUAAAACCAAUGUUUUUUUCAUUCUCUCGACCUGGAGGAGAUCAGGGGGACUGGGAUAUAGGAUCUCUUCAUUCUAUUCCUCAGUUGGAAACCACAUCCUCCAAUACACUUAUUCUCAUUGAUUCUUUUUAGUUGGUAAAAGUGAUUUAAACUCGGCUCAAUGCUAAGGAAGGCUUUCUCAAAGAUGAACAAGAAUACUAAGCAUUGUAAUGGAGUUCGAGUUCAAGUGGUGAAGUUCGAUUUGGUACCAAUCGAGUACACUGAGGAAAAACAUAGAAGGAGGAACGUUGAAUCCUUCAAGUGGAGAUGAGUAAUCUUGAUGAAAACUACAUUUCAAAUGUUGGCUACAAUCUUCUUCUCAAGGAGGUGGAAGCAAUGCAUUAAGAGACGAAGAUUGAGACAUGAAUGUCUUUCAUGAUAAUAUUGCUAAUACUUUGUUUUCUAAGAGAGGAUAGGUUGACAAUUCGUGUUGUACAUGAGAAGAUAUGAAAAGUGGGAUGCAGAUAUCUGAAGCUGCAGAUGGAGGUCCAGAAGCGGUUGCAUGAAGGUAUAAAGGCAGCUGCAGCUGGGUAAGUAUCUCCAGAAGAUCAUCAAAAAGAAGCAGCGCAUCACUGGUGCUGGAGCUUCCAUAGCCACGUCAAGUGAACAAUUGGCCGACUCAGAGAGAACUAACCAAUUGUACGGGAUUUGCAGGUGGGGACUAGUCCUUCCACACCACAUCUUUGAGUCAAGUAUGGCCUCGGAGCUCCAGCAGUGUUCGAUGCCCUAUUCAGGACAUUACCUAAUUUUAUGAUGUAUGUGAUAUGAUUUUCAUUUUUGGCCGUAGGUAGAUUUUUGCUUCUCAACAGACUUUAAGUUGGAGGUCGUCAGAUGACAUGGUGGAUUGCCUUAAUGUUUCUAGUAUUGAAUUAAGAUUCCAAGAAUGAGUUAUGUGAUGUGACAUUUUUCACAACCAACAUGUAUUAUGUGGAUUACCUAGUCUUUGCAUUGCAUCAAAUAAUAAACAAGUGUCCGCAUGAGAAAAUUCAGAAUC